rnacentral:rRNA from 1 species
UAAGUCACUGGAGACCAAGGACUUCGUGAAAUUGGAGAAUGCGGAGCGCGAUCGACUGGACUUGCCCGCGGGAAGACCAUCCGGUAAUUCGAGUUGUGCGCUCAACCGUCGUCUAAGUCAGAGGUAGUUUCCUUCUAAAGAUAAAAUACCCCCCAGAGGCCGGAUCCCCUCCCAAGUAGAUUUAUCCAAAGAUGAAAAGCCCUUCGAACCGGGAGUCAGAACGCCCGUGAAAUUGGAUAAAGGGGAGAUCUUGCAAACCGACCCGUCCGGGGUCGCUGAACCAGGACUUUGACCUGGUGUACUCCUCCGCGGCCGGGCCAGCAUGGGUUUAGGCGGUCGGAUAAAGGGCGCGGAAAUGUAGCUCCCCUCGGGGAGUGUUAUAGCCCGUGGUGGGAUGCGAUUUGAGUAAGAGCAAAGCCCGUGGGUCGGCUAAGAUGGUGGCAUAAUGCUGAAUAGGGAGAAGUCUGGAAAAACUGCCCAGGGAGUCUAACAUCGGUCCGAGGGUCAAAGCGUCGAACCCGGACGGGUAUAGAAAGGAAAGAGUAGUGGGAACCUUUGGGACUAGAUAUCGCCCGGUCCUGAUGGGUCCGGAAGUUUUUGAGCAUGAGGAUAGACAUUGUCGGUCUUAUGGGGAAGAACUAUGGGCUAAUAGCAGUGAGCAGAGGAUCACCACAGACUAAGGCGCCGUUUCCGUCCGGAAGCACAGUUA